UAGGGAAUCUUCCACAAUGGACGCAAGUCUGAUGGAGCAACGCCGCGUGAGUGAAGAAGGUCCUCGGAUCGUAAAGCUCUGUUGUUGGUGAAGAAGGAUAGAGGCAGUAACUGGUCUUUAUUUGACGGUAAUCAACCAGAAAGUCACGGCUAACUACGUGCCAGCAGCCGCGGUAAUACGUAGGUGGCAAGCGUUGUCCGGAUUUAUUGGGCGUAAAGCGAGCGCAGGCGGAAUGAUAAGUCUGAUGUGAAAGCCCACGGCUCAACCGUGGAACUGCAUCGGAAACUGUCAUUCUUGAGUGCAGAAGAGGAGAGUGGAACUCCAUGUGUAGCGGUGGAAUGCGUAGAUAUAUGGAAGAACACCAGUGGCGAAGGCGGCUCUCUGGUCUGCAACUGACGCUGAGGCUCGAAAGCAUGGGUAGCGAACAGGAUUAGAUACCCUGGUAGUCCAUGCCGUAAACGAUGAGCGCUAGGUGUUGGGGACUUUCCGGUCCUCAGUGCCGCAGCAAACGCAUUAAGCGCUCCGCCUGGGGAGUACGACCGCAAGGUUGAAAC
rnacentral:rRNA from 1 species